rnacentral:misc_RNA from 1 species
UUAUCUCUCCGCGAAAAGAAAUCUUUGACGAGCCAUACCACCAAAUAGACAUGGCCAAUUUGGUUUCCCUCAUCCCAUGGCAGUCUCACUGAAAUAUGUUCCAUUAAGGAGAAGCCACUACAAUUUUUGUGUCCGUCAAUCUUUCUGAUAAUGACUGUUUCAAGGUUCAGAACUCAGAGAAAUGCAGGACGAAGAGCAAAGGGUGGGGGAGGAGUACGAGAG